AUUGAACGCCGGCGGAAUGCUUUACACAUGCAAGUCGAACGGCAGCACGGACUUCGGUCUGGUGGCGAGUGGCGAACGGGUGAGUAAUGUAUCGGAACGUGCCCAGUCGUGGGGGAUAACGUAGUGAAAAUUACGCUAAUACCGCAUACGAUCUAUGGAUGAAAGCGGGGGAUCGCAAGACCUCGCGCGAUUGGAGCGGCCGAUAUCAGAUUAGGUAGUUGGUGGGGUAAAGGCCCACCAAGCCAACGAUCUGUAGCUGGUAUGAGAGGACGACCAGCCACACUGGAACUGCGACACGGUCCAGACUCCUACGGGAGGCAGCAGGGGUGAAUUUUGGACAAUGGGCGAAAGCCUGAUCCAGCGAUUCCGCGUGCAGGAUGAAGGCCCUCGGGUUGUAAACUGCUUUUGUACAGAACGAAAAGGUUUCUACUAAUACUAGGAGCUCAUGACGGUACUGUAAGAAUAAGCACCGGCUAACUACGUGCCAGCCGCCGCCGUAA
rnacentral:rRNA from 1 species